CUCGUCAACCGUGAGGUUGGCACCGGGACCAGAGUGUAGAAUAUCAGCUUUUCAUCCAAACAACUGGAGCGGAACAUGGGCCUUAUUAUUAUUUUUUUUUAUUAUGCCAGACACAAUCUGUCUUUGAAAAGUGCUGUAUGUUUUUUUUGUAAUUUUCUUUUUUUUAAUUAUUGCUGCAUUGUCCUCCCUCCCUUUUAUUCACCCCCAACCCCUCCAUCCUCAGCAGAUGUUGAGACGACCGUAAAAGACUGCAGAUUAUUGGCCCUUUUGUGAGAAGCCACCGUUGACAGAUAAAAAAUGUUGAAGUCUAAUCUCUGUGGGGCACAUGGUGUUUUAUUGUAACAGAAACAAAUAAUGCUGACACACACACACACACACACACACACAAACACAAACUGAAACCUACUAGUCAUACUAACAGAUCAGUUGAUAAUAUCUUAGAGAAAUGUUACAGGCCUAACAUCUAGGCUGCGGUUGAGAGAGUUCCGUUCUGACAACUGGACAUGACAUUUUCUCAAGAAGACGUUUCGCCUCUCGUUCAAGAGGCUUCUUCACUUCUAGGUUGCAUUCAAGUCACUGGAACUUGAUUUUUGAGCCUCAGGACAUUUUUUUAAACAUCAACAUCAACAGCUAAACCUCAUGAAAAUCACACCAGCAACCUUAUUCUGUGUACAAAGCCUAACUCCAGUGUACCAGGUAAAUGGACGUGAUUCAAAUAGAACUCUCUGGACUCUUUAACCCAUGAGUCAGAGACAACACCGACACUGAUCUAAGCAGUGGUUUCAUGUGGUUUCACUCAGACGUUUAUCCCGUUUGUUCUACUUCAGGAUGUCGUCGUCGUCGUAGUGAAGUGAACUCCCGUUGUAGUUACUGUAGAAUAGUGUCGGUGCAGGACAGCAGCAGUGUUGCUUUAGCCGUGCUCCGCACACCGCAGUGUUUACAACAAGGCAGGAAUUCCAUCCGUACGACGAAAGUCACUGUUUUCACUGCUAACACUGUAUUGGGUUAAACCGAGCUGCGUGUCUACACGUCGUCACCACAGCGCUCUUAGUUCUGCCUGCGUCCAAUUUUGGCAAAAGACAAGUUUACCAAAAAAUUUGAACGACUUCCAGGAAUCCUGGGUAAUUAGGGAGGAGGUGGUUCGCCAAGGAAAACCAGCAGGACGGGAAAUUUAGGUGUCAGCAGAAAACCUUCGCAGUUGUAGACGAUCUGCACGGGCAGCAUCAAAGUCGUGAAGCAGCAGCAGCAGAAGCAGCAGAGCAGCGAGGAAAAAGAAGGGGAAGAAGAAGAAGUUUGGAGCUGGUCCUUUACUGUCCUCUUCUCUCUGUUGGUUCCUUCUCCCUCCACCCAUCUGUGUGUUUACCUUUGUUGUCAUUUGUUGAACCUACGUAGAGUCCAGUACCUGAGUCCUUCAGUCCAGUACCCGAGUCCUUCAGUCCAGUACCUGAGUCCUUCAGUCCAGUACCUGAGUCCUUCAGUCCAGUACCUGAGUCCUUCAGUCCAGUCCGUGGUCUACAGCCUUCAACACCAGAGGAGACAUUUUUCUACAUUUACCAUCAAAUCAAAUUUACUCAGAGCAGCAAAAACACAAUUUGAACUAUUUGGAUGAUGGUGGUAAUGUAGUGGUCUGGGGACCGGUGCCGGUCCAUAGGUCUUUAGAUACCAGGCCUUGUGAUGUAAGUUGAGUACGAAUGCGAGUGUGAACAUUUGUUUAUUUGGUUUUUAUUGUAUUUGUAAAUAUUUUUUUCAGGGAAAUUCCUACAGAUGAAAGACAAAAAAAAAAUCCCCUGCUGUGUCAGCAUUCCAGUUGGAAAGAAUAAAAGCCACAGGAUGGUGUGUUUGGACCAGUGGCACUAUGGAAACGCACUCAGGUCUCAGUCACCACGGUGGUCUCCUCUGGUACCGCUGGUACCGCCCGAUCUGGACGUCUGGAUCUGUGGGUGAGUGAGCCGGGCGCUCAGAGCUCCAGAGAAGCAGCAGCUGCUUGACUGGAAGCAGACUCGGAGAUCCAAACACGUCCCAGCUGGAGGACUGGAGUGUUGUUGAACACUUUUCUUUGUUUUCCCCAAAAUCACCUUUAAACCCUCUCUCGUUCUUGUAUCCAGACUGAAGGCUCAGCGCUCACAGCCUCCUGCUCCGCGUUGAACGGCUUCAUAAUGAAACGGCGCUCUACGGUGUAUUAAGUGGAAGUGAUGCACACUCCAAGCUUUUAGAUUGUUUACAGAACCUCUGCACUGCCCCUGGUCCACAGCCAGCAGAUACAUUAGAGGAGAUAUGGAGGUUUGUUAUCAAGGUCACAGAAAGGUUUCAGAUUCUGAAAUAACCGAGGAACUUUUCUUUGUGUUCUCCUCGUCGGUGUUGUUUUUUUCCCCAUGACUUCCACUCUGUUGUCUCCUUCACAAACAGACAUUUACUAAAUCACAGCCAACAGCAACAGCACGCUGCAGAUGUUUGGGCCCUCUGGAGGAAGGCUGCAGUCCUAACCCGGGGCAGAUGAGUGAGUCUUCAUGAAUUGCCCCGGGGUUUAUUGACACUGAAGAGUUCGUUAGCCUGUGCACUUCAGCACCAGCGGCAUCACUGCCAGCUCUGACCUGCACUGGUGCCACCGGGAUGUUUGUUCAUGUCUGGAUCUGUCUGGACCGAAGGUGGGGGGAGGAGAGAGAGAGAGAGAGAGAGGAUCAGCAGACAGCAGCCUGGUUUUAGACAAAACACAACAGUAGGGGGGGACGGAGGGGAGGGUGAUUGAGAUUUGGCCUAAAGUACGUUUACAACCAUCCACGAGUCGAAGGUUUAAAUUACUGUUCCUAUGUGUUGACAGUAGUUCACCUAUGAACUUCCUGUGAGUAAAUUAUUUACUCAUUUCUGCUUCGUCUUAUCAUUUAUAACAGGAUUAAAGAGAAAAAUCAAAAAGGUCCAGGAAUGUUUUUAUUCGUACUCGACUAGAUUGAUUUUUUUUACUUUUCCAAAACCCAAAGAACAGAAAAAUACUGUAUGCAGAUGUGUUUAGAUUCAAAUAAUAAUUAAUGAAAAAUAGCUGUUCAUAAAUAUUUGUUUUCCAUUUUUAUUUUUUUGAAUAGCUACGACUUACCCUCAGAACAACAGCACGUAAGUUCGAGUCCAAAAAAAAGUCGGGCAGGUUGGCGUACGCGUUUGUAAAGAAGUUAGAAUUAUACACUUACUGAAUUGACUUCAUGCGUUUGAGUCUUCAAACCGGACAGUUCAUGUUGCAUUGCAUGUGUAAUUUUAUUUUGAGCGUGUAUCUGGUUAAAAAGCAGCCUAUUUAUUGGGUUUAGUGAAGUAGCCAGUGUAGCUAGCCAUGUUUGUAUGAGUGAAACAACUCAAACUUCUUGCCCAAUGUCGGACCAACUCCAUUUGUUUUGUUUUUUGUUGUUGUUGUUUUGUUUUUUGCACGCUUCUCAGCAUCAAACAGCAAAUUUGUUUUGCAGUGUUUGAUGAAAUUACAAGUUUACAUUUUUGGCUUUUACAUCGUUUUUUUUUCUCUGUAAACCAGACCGGACUAAGUAUCCUGCUUCAAUAUGUGUCCAAGAUUUAUGGUCUUCUCCGAGCUAUAAAAAAAUAGCAGCCAGCUGCAGAACUUUCCAGAUGUUGUUUCUUAUUGCUCUGCGAUAAAACAACCGGUUUGGAGCAGAGCGUCGGCGUGCGGGGGGGUCGCAGUGAGGGGAGGGUCACGCGGGACAUUACUGCGUCACUGCUGCAACAGAGAAGACAACAUGUAGCCUCCACUCGACUGGCACCAUUUUUUUAAUAGAUUAGGUAUCUGGAUCUGAGUUCCAGCCAGCCGGGGCGCGUGUAUUGACGUGCGCAUGCGUCCUUGCGCUGAGAGAAAACGGGAACGCGCUGUAACGGGCAGAAAGUGCAGCAGAGAACAGCUACAUCUGACCAAAGGACUCCAUGCCAGUCUCGAGAGCUCACGGCGAGUCUGAGGUUCGGGUGAUCCACGCUGUGGGACGUUUCAUGUUCCGGUCACAUCACUGCCUUUUCAUAACCGACCUAACGGACGGCUUUGGUGAUUUUCCCACGCAGUGAUCGUCACCGUGAAGGCAUCGUGAACUUGGUUUUUGGACCGUUAUCAGACAGAACAGAGGACCGACUUCUGCUCCGUUCAUCUGCUGGUAGAGAACUGUUCCACCAGAAAGACUCCGUACACAGACUCUGAAAUGAAAGAGGGAAAAGGAUAAUCCCCGGCCCGGCGUGGACAUUGGUGGAUUGAAGAGCAGGUGAAGAUGUCCCAGAAGGCAACAGGAAAAAUAUGGUGCAUCAGGCUGGGUCUCAUCGUCUUCACCUAUGUCACCUGCUACUGUUCCUACAGCGUAUUUCAGAGGUACACACACACACACACACACUUCACUCAUUUUUUGUUUUUGUCUCUUUAUCCUUUUUUCUAACUUUUUGUUUUGUGUAACUUCCUUCUUUCUUUCAUUAUGUAAUUCAUACUUUUUUAAAGAUUUUCUUCUCUUUCAAUGUUAAUUUCUGUCUUUCUCUUUUCAUUCUGUCACCUUCAGUUUACUUUCAAACUUUUCCUUGUUUCUUCCUUUUUUUUUCUUCUUCCCUUCCGUCAUCGUUCUCUCUCCCUUCGUCUCUUUGCCCACGUUGACCCUCC